CGCAACGCGCAGACCCUUACCAACCCUUGACAUGUCUCGUAUGGUUUCCAGAGAUGGAUUCCUUCAGUUCGGCUGGCGAGAACACAGGUGUUGCAUGGCUGUCGUCAGCUCGUGUCGUGAGAUGUUGGGUUAAGUCCCGCAACGAGCGCAACCCUCGCCUUUAGUUGCCAUCAUUUAGUUGGGCACUCUAGAGGGACUGCCGGUGAUAAGCCGGAGGAAGGUGGGGAUGACGUCAAGUCCUCAUGGCCCUUACGGGUUGGGCUACACACGUGCUACAAUGGCGGCGACAAUGGGCAGCGAAGGGGCGACCCGGUGCAAAUCCCAAAAAGCCGUCUCAGUUCGGAUUGUACUCUGCAACUCGAGUGCAUGAAGGUGGAAUCGCUAGUAAUCGCGUAACAGCAUGACGCGGUGAAUACGUUCCCGGGCCUUGUACACACCGCCCGUCACACCAUGGGAGUUGGUUUUACCCGAAGCUGGUGCGCUAACCGCAAGGAGGCAGCCAACCACGGUAAGGUCAGCGACUGGGGUGAAGUCGUAACAAGGUAGCCCUAGGGGAACCUGGGGCUGGAUCACCUCCUUAAGCUUGGAUACCCGGG
rnacentral:rRNA from 1 species